AUACGGAGGGUGCAAGCGUUACUCGGAAUCACUGGGCGUAAAGCGCGCGCAGGCGGGCUGAUAAGUUGGAUGUGAAAGCCUACGGCUCAACCGUAGAACUGCAUCCAAAACUGUCAGUCUAGAGUCUGGGAGGGGAAGAUGGAAUUAGUUGUGUAGGGGUAAAAUCCGUAGAGAUAACUAGGAAUACCGAAAGCGAAGGCGAUCUUCUGGAACAGUACUGACGCUGAGGCGCGAAAGCGUGGGGAGCAAACAGGAUUAGAUACCCUAGUAGUCC
rnacentral:rRNA from 1 species